GCCAACGUUCAUAUCACGUUGAAUACACCAGUUCUCGUCCGAUCUCUGAAGUUAAGCAACGUUGAGCGUGGAUAGUACUUGGAUGGGUGACCGCUUGGGAACACCACGUAACGUUGGCG
rnacentral:rRNA from 1 species